AUACGUAGGAGGCGAGCGUUAUCCGGAUUUACUGGGCGUAAAGCGCGUGCAGGCGGUCUGGUAGGUUGGAUGUGAAAUCUCCCGGCUCAACCGGGAGAGGCCGUUCAAAACCGCUGGACUAGAGGGCGACAGAGGGAGGUGGAAUUCCCGGUGUAGUGGUGAAAUGCGUAGAUAUCGGGAGGAACACCAGAGGCGAAGGCGGCCUCCUGGGUUGACCCUGACGCUCAGACGCGAAAGCUAGGGUAGCAAACAGGAUUAGAAACCCUAGUAGUCC
rnacentral:rRNA from 1 species